rnacentral:tRNA from 1 species
GGGUCCUUAGCUCAAUUGGUCAGAGCAGCUGGCUCAUACCCGGUUGGUUGCAGGUUCGAGUCCUGCAGGACCCA